ACCCAGCAUGGCUUAGUGGUUUGAGCGUUGGACUUCAACUCUGGAGACCAGGGUUCGAUUCCCAGCUUGGCUA
rnacentral:tRNA from 1 species